rnacentral:rRNA from 1 species
AUUGAACGCUGGCGGCGUGCUUAACACAUGCAAGUCGAUCGGUAACGCGGGGGCAACCCUGGCGACGAGAGGCGGACGGGUGAGGAACGCUUGGGAAUCUGCCUAUCAGCGGGGGACAACCCGGGGAAACUCGGGCUAAUACCGCAUACGCUCUACGGAGGAAAGCCGGGGACCGCAAGGCCUGGCACUGAUAGAUGAGCCCAAGUCGGAUUAGCUAGUUGGCGGGGUAACGGCCCACCAAGGCGACGAUCCGUAGCUGGUCUGAGAGGACGAUCAGCCACACUGGAACUGAGACACGGUCCAGACUCCUACGGGAGGCAGCAGUAGGGGAAUCUUGCGCAAUGGGCGAAAGCCUGACGCAGCGACGCCGCGUGAGCGAUGAAGGCCUUCGGGUUGUAAAGCUCUGUGGGGAGAGAAGAAUAAGGGUUGGCUAACAUCCAACUUGAUGACGGUAUCUCCUUAGCAAGCACCGGCUAACUCUGUGCCAGCAGCCGCCGUAACAC